rnacentral:rRNA from 1 species
GACGAACGCUGGCGGCGUGCUUAACACAUGCAAGUCGAACGGAAAGGCCUCUUUCGGGGGGUACUCGAGUGGCGAACGGGUGAGUAACACGUGAGUAACCUGCCCUUGACUUUGGGAUAACUUCAGGAAACUGGGGCUAAUACCGGAUAGGAGCUCCUGCUGCAUGGUGGGGGUUGGAAAGUUUCGGCGGUUGGGGAUGGACUCGCGGCUUAUCAGCUUGUUGGUGGGGUAGUGGCUUACCAAGGCUUUGACGGGUAGCCGGCCUGAGAGGGUGACCGGCCACAUUGGGACUGAGAUACGGCCCAGACUCCUACGGGAGGCAGCAGUGGGGAAUAUUGCACAAUGGGUGGAAGCCUGAUGCAGCAACGCCGUGUGCGGGAUGACGGCCUUCGGGUUGUAGACCGCUUUCGCUCAUGACGAAGCUUUGUGUGACGGUAGUGGGUAAAGAAGCACCGGCUAACUACGUG